AUCAACCAGGAACUGGACAUUCACUGCCAUCAAUCUUUCACUUUAUGCGUGCUAGGGAUCAUUUUUAUAAAAUCCUUUCUCAACAUAAGACCUAAGGUGAUACAGUUAUAU